rnacentral:rRNA from 1 species
GUGUCAGCCGCCGCGGUAAUACGGAGGAUGCGAGCGUUAUCCGGAUUUAUUGGGUUUAAAGGGUGCGUAGGCGGAUUAAUAAGUCAGUGGUGAAAACCUUCAGCUUAACUGGAGACUUGCCAUAGAUACUGUUAGUCUUGUGUAUGGUUAAGGUAGGCGGAAUGUGUAAUGUAGCGGUGAAAUGCUUAGAUAUUACACAGAACACCGAUUGCGAAGGCAGCUUACUGAGCCAUAACUGACGCUGAUGCACGAAAGCGUGGGGAGAGAACAGGAUUAGAUACCCUGGUAGUCCACGCCGUAAACGAUGAUCACUCGCUGUUGGCGAUACACAGUCAGCGGCUAAGCAAAAGCAUUAAGUGAUCCACCUGGGGAGUACGGCCGCAAGGCUGAAACUCAAAUGAAUUGGCGGGG